CAUGGCCACAUUAAAAAAAUAAAAGCUAGAUAAUCAAAUGCUUUUGUGUUCAACAGAAGGCACUUUCAAAUUAUAGGCAAAUGAUUUACAUUUCACACUCUGAGAAACUUUGCUUUGGUGUAUGUGUGCUUGAAUGCUGUGCCUGUAUGUGUACACACGUAUACUCUGUAGUGCUGACACAACAAAAUUUAGCACACUUCAUCUGUAGUGAGCAAUUACUGCAUGUUAUGGAUGCAAACCUGAAAUCUCCCCUACAUUCAUGUUCCCUAGUCAAUACUAACAAAGUCAGGUGAGUAGCCACCAGGGCUUUCCUUUUAUGUUCAAACACAGUGCUUAUUGGAGGGUGGAAGAACAAAUCUCUGGAGCUGUUUCAGGCUACAAUCCUAUAGCCCUCUAAGCUGGAGGAAUGUCCAACUGAACUUGACUGGACAUGCUUCUGAUUACACAUAGAAACAAUUGAGACAUACCUAGGUUCUCUUGAACUCUUGGCAAGGAGCUGUAUCAGUGCAUCCAAAGCCAGGAGAGACCAUGGACCGGAAACUCAAAAAGCUUAUUUUCAUCUCCUUUAGCACUCUACCAGAAGUGGCUUGUGAAGUGUGCCGAUAGAAGGGUGGGCUCCUAGGUAUUUUUUUUUAUUUAAUGAUAUUUAUUGGAAUUUCACAUGAAAAAACAUCUUAAUAAUAAAGAAAUUUAGAAAUAAAAAGAAAAAAAACCACCAUACAAGAUACAAAAAGAAAAAAGAAAAAACAGUUAAAAACAAUUCCGUCUUUUCAUCACAACUUUUACAUUUACUUAUUUCCCGGACCUCCUCAUACCUCCCUCUAUUGUAUUCUGAUUUAAUUUGUUUGUCCAGCAAUUCCUUUUCCUCCUUUUUAAUCCCAUCCUUAAUCUUAAUAUAAUAUAACAUUGAAUUUUAAUCUAUUAAAAACCAAUUUUCCAUUUCUUUUGACUUUUUUAGUCCUAAUCCUUAAUCUUAAUCUAUCUUUAACUUUAAAGCCUGUACAGCUAGAAGCCACUUAAUUUCAAUCCAACAUCACUCUAACAUUCUUUAAUUUUGCAAUAUUUCUGUAAAUAGUCUUUGAAUUUCUUCCAAUCUUCUUCCACCGACUCUUCUCCCUGAUCACGGAUUCUGCCAGUCAUUUCCGCCAAUUCCAUGGGCUCCUAGGUAUUCUGCACCGUUGGCAGGGGUCAACCUAAGCACCCCCUAAGUAUGCCCUUGGGUGGGUGUGAUUUCUCUGUUUUGCCAGAGUUGACUUCCUGUCACUGCCCCCAUUCAGUGCUCACUGCAGCUGCCCCCCCCCCCCCGCUGGAGAAACUGCUCUAGCCACCCCCUUGCACAUGCUAAGGUGGCUGCCUAGCAGCAAUGACAGCAUUGUAAGGGACCAGGCAGACAUGUGGCCACUGAGCUCCCUGGACAAUUACAGCACCACAGUCAGCUAAGCAUGUUUGCAGGUGUGAGGGGGAGGCUGGCAGUUUCCCCACACCCUUGUGCUCAUGCAUUGGCAGGCUUACCUGGUAGUGAUUCAUUACAGAGCUGCUGCUGCUCCCACUAGGGAUACCAGCUUGCAAGGGGGAGGCUGUCCAAACCCUUUGUGUAACUGAGCUUCCCUGGCAGAGGCAGCUGUUGGGCUCUCCAGUCCAUUACAGUGCUGCUGCUGCCACCAGCAGCGAAGCAUAUGCCCACGCUGCCCAGGGCGGGUGCACUCCCGAGGGGGGCGGGGCACAGAGGGUGCCCUCCCAGGCAUGGGAUAGCUGCUCAGGUGCACAGAGCAGCGCGCGCG